rnacentral:rRNA from 1 species
GUGGGGAAUAUUGCACAAUGGGCGCAAGCCUGAUGCAGCGACGCCGCGUGGGGGAUGACGGCCUUCGGGUUGUAAACUCCUUUCGCUAGGGACGAAGCUUUUUGUGACGGUACCUAGAUAAGAAGCACCGGCUAACUACGUGCCAGCAGCCGCGGUAAUACGUAGGGUGCGAGCGUUGUCCGGAAUUACUGGGCGUAAAGGGCUCGUAGGUGGUUUGUCGCGUCGUCUGUGAAAUUCCGGGGCUUAACUCCGGGCGUGCAGGCGAUACGGGCAUAACUUGAGUACUGUAGGGGUAACUGGAAUUCCUGGUGUAGCGGUGAAAUGCGCAGAUAUCAGGAGGAACACCGAUGGCGAAGGCAGGUUACUGGGCAGUUACUGACGCUGAGGAGCGAAAGCAUGGGUAGCGAACAGGAUUAGAAACCCUAGUAGUCC